UGGCGUUUUUGGGUAGAAGAAAUGGUAGAAUGAUCUCGGUGAUCGGGACUAAUAGAAGAGAAAAAAAUAUAAUCAAGAACUUGCAAAAACUUUCUAAACUUCACACUUUUUUUUUGAAUUUCCUCUCUUUUUUUCUUUCGAAUUAUUUUUUUUCCAAAUUUUUUUUUUCAAAUUUUUUUAAUUCAAUACAAUAGAAAGCUAAAUACAAAAGAAAAAAAAUUACACCUUGAAUUUUU
rnacentral:lncRNA from 1 species